rnacentral:lncRNA from 1 species
AAAGUCUCACAUUGUUUUGUAAACUGUUGUCUGCUCCUGCUGUACUGCAAUACUGACUCUUGUAAAAACUGUAUGCUACAUAGAACUCUACAGGCAAAAAUUGAUUCUUUGACUAUUUUGUGACUUCAUGUAUUCAUCAAGUAAAAAAUAUUUUUUCCUGUCUCUUCCUGUCUCAAAGAUUUCACUGUUUUGCAGUUAUAGAAGUACCUGAUAGACCUAACAGUGAUUGAUCUUCAAGAUGUUCAAGAACAAAGAUUCUUCACAUCUGCACCUCUUCAAAACGCAACAGCUGAGGAAAAGAAGAAAAUCAGUCAAGUCCUCUCUUACUGUGUUCUGGACUUUCCUCAUUUUACUUCUUCGAAUCAGAAAAGAUUUCUGUGCACAAUUCAUCUCCUGAACUUGGUACCUGAAGAGCCAGCUACAACAGUAUUUUUUCCCUACUUGUUCUAACAUGUUGCAAAGAAGCAUAUUUGAAACAUAAACUAAAGAGGAAGAUGAAAUACCAAAAGCUUGCCUAGUCAAAAUUAAAAAAUCUCCCAUGACUGAUGCUGAACUGAGAAUCAAAUAAGAGAAAACUCAUAUGCUGUUCAAACCUA